GCUGGGCGCUGUGGUGCACGUCUGUAAUCCCAGCUGCUUGGGAGGCUGAGACAGGAAGAUCAUGAGUUCAAAGCCAGCCUCAGCAAAAGUGAGGUGCUAAGCAAACUCAGUGAGACCCUGUCUCUA
rnacentral:sRNA from 1 species